rnacentral:rRNA from 1 species
CUGAACCAGCCAAGUAGCGUGAAGGAUGACUGCCCUAUGGGUUGUAAACUUCUUUUAUACGGGAAUAAAGUGAGCCACGUGUGGCUUUUUGUAUGUACCGUAUGAAUAAGGAUCGGCUAACUCCGUGCCAGCAGCCGCGGUAAUACGGAGGAUUCGAGCGUUGUCCGGAUUUAUUGGGUUUAAAGGGAGCGUAGAUGGAUGUUUAAGUCAGUUGUGAAAGUUUGCGG